UGCAGUCGAGCGGAUGAAGGGAGCUUGCUCCUGGAUUCAGCGGCGGACGGGUGAGUAAUGCCUAGGAAUCUGCCUGGUAGUGGGGGAUAACGUCCGGAAACGGGCGCUAAUACCGCAUACGUCCUGAGGGAGAAAGUGGGGGAUCUUCGGACCUCACGCUAUCAGAUGAGCCUAAGUCGGAUUAGCUAGUUGGUGGGGUAAAGGCCUACCAAGGCGACGAUCCGUAACUGGUCUGAGAGGAUGAUCAGUCACACUGGAACUGAAACACGGACCAGACUCCUACGGGAGGCAGCAGUGGGGAAUAUUGGACAAUGGGCGAAAGCCUGAUCCAGCCAUGCCGCGUGUGUGAGGAAGGUCUUCGGAUUGUAAAGCACUUUAAGUUGGGAGGAAGGGCAGUAAGUUAAUACCUUGCUGUUUUGACGUUACCAACAGAAUAAGCACCGGCUAACUUCGUGCCAGCACCCGCGGCAAUACGAAGGGUGCAAGCGUUAAUCGGAAUUACUGGGCGUAAAGCGCGCGUAGGUGGUUCAGCAAGUUGGAUGUGAAAUCCCCGGGCUCAACCUGGGAACUGCAUCCAAAACUACUGAUGUAGAGUACGGUAGAGGGUGGUGGAAUUUCCUGUGUAGCGGUGAAAUGCAUAGAUAUAGGAAGGAACACCAGUGGCGAAGGCGACCGCCUGGACUGAUACUGACACUGAGGUGCGAAAGCGUGGGGAGCAGACAGGAUUAGAUACCCUGAUAGUCCACGCUCG
rnacentral:rRNA from 1 species